GGACCCGCACAAGCGGUGGAUGAUGUGGAUUAAUUCGAUGCAACGCGAAAAACCUUACCUACCCUUGACAUGUCAGGAAUUUUGCAGAGAUGCGAAAGUGCUCGAAAGAGAGCCUGAACACAGGUGCUGCAUGGCUGUCGUCAGCUCGUGUCGUGAGAUGUUGGGUUAAGUCCCGCAACGAGCGCAACCCUUGUCAUUAGUUGCUACGCAAGGGCACUCUAAUGAGACUGCCGGUGACAAACCGGAGGAAGGUGGGGACGACGUCAAGUCCUCAUGGCCCUUAUGGGUAGGGCUUCACACGUCAUACAAUGGUUGGUACAGAGGGUUGCGAACCCGCGAGGGGGAGCUAAUCCCAAAAAACCAUCGUAGUCCGGAUUGCAGUCUGCAACUCGACUGCAUGAAGUCGGAAUCGCUAGUAAUCGCGGAUC
rnacentral:rRNA from 1 species